UUGAAUUGAAUUUUGGUUGACGAGCCCCGAGGACAGUUUGGUGGUGGUGCUGUGUAUAUUCAUUCACCACUGUACACUACGUACGUAUACUCGAAAGGGGAAAUAUUGAGGAUACAAUUGACCCAAAUAGAGUCCCCGACCAAGGAUUAUGCGGCGUGUUAGGUUGACGGGCUCAAGUAGACAAGAAAAGAAAGUAAAAGCACGCAAGAAGAUCUGGAUUUCUUUCACCUCCUUUGAAUUGAAUCUCUCAAACACUGACUUGUUUCUACUUUAUUGUGUUGAGAGGCCCUGAAAGUCACGAGAUUCAUUUCUGGGGUUUAUUUUCCCACAUCCAAGAGGGAUGUCCGAUUUCCCGACGCACAAAACAUAAAGGCUCUUUCCAUCCAACUACAACGAUACUGAACGACCCGUGGAACAAAGUGACAUUGAUCCAAGUCCUUUGAUCUUGACAAGCAAAGGAUGAAUAUAUUUUGGCUGAUGGUCCCGGUUGGACCCAUUUUGAUCUUCUCGCACGCAUGCUUUGGCAGGUGCUGUGGGUUAGAAGCAAGGAUAUUUGUAAUAACUGAUGAGCCGGAGAAGGUCUAUCCUCCACUGCAUUUAGUCCCAAUUAAAUGGCGAGAUUGGUGCUACCUAACAUGCUCAUUGAGAAAUUGCUACUCGACGUUAGGCCACGUGAACUAUUGUGUAAAAACACAGUCGUCGAGGUAAAGACUCGGAGCAUAAGACUUCAGGUUGGAGACGUCCAAACCCAAUAUUUGGCAAUCCCUUUUCCCGCAGUUGGGUCGUGGUUGUCGACUACCAUCCAUUCCUCUACUUUCUAUCCUGCUUUCUCAGUCUAUCUAAUUCAAUGAAUAGGCAUGCAUGCGUGAAUACAUCUUUCUCUCAGCAUUAUCUUUGGGAGGAAGUCGUCAAGUCAGGGGGUAAUUUGAUUAUCGAAAAUCCAUAAAAAUUCGGCCUAGAUCGAGAUAAAAAGGACUCUUUCCUUCGCGAAACGAAACUUGGAACAAGCUCAAACGUCAAAUGAAUGAAUGAAUGGCAUGCUCAUUCUCGACUGAAUCACCUCGAUUCCACCAUUGAUUAAAGACAGUGCAACGGCCAACGCCACGCAAAUAGUUUGCGGUGGGUCCCAAUUCCCCUUAUUUCUCAUGGAUUUCUGCUGGAGCCUCUACUCGAAUCUACUCCAUAAGGAAAGCUGAAAACAUGUCAAGCGCAAAAUAGUAAUGAGCUCCGUUGAAGAAUGAGCUAAUUCUUUUAAUCGAAUCAUCCACUAACUCUCGCGUCAAAACGGUCGAGGGAAUCGGAACAUGAGACUUUAGUGGAACAAGAUGAAGACGACCCUCAGAGCUCAGAGCCUUUGAUGUGUCAAGGUGGGCGGCUAUAAGUAUGCAUGCACCCAUGGAAAUAAGAAUACAAAACUGGGCUCCUCUUUUGUGAGGUUCCAACUUAGUCAGUCAGGAAAGUCUUUGUCGGCUUCACCAAGCCAUCCAUUUUCUCUUCCUCUCCAAGAUUUAUGCACAUUUCCUCAGACAAUUCAUGCUCUAGAGAACGAAUUGACAUUGGCCUCCUUUGCAUACAAACUCCGGCGGAUGAACUGACAAUCUCCAGAGGAGUCCGCGUAAUUCAUACUUUUCCAUCGACGGGAGAUCCUGAAGCAACAGUGGGUUGCAAAGCCAAGAGUCCAUCAAUGGCAAUGGGUCAGGUCAAGUAUUGAGGAGGACCUCGUGUCGAGAGCUGACUUGGAUUGGAUUGGGAUAGCUAUCUUAGGGAAUAGGGACAAUUUUCCACCCAAAAGAAACACCACUCGUGUGGGUGGUGGAAGUGAGGGAUGGGGGCUUUAGCUGGCUUCAACAUGAAGGCCGAUUGCAAGUACUCACUUCUACGUCUCAUUGCCUAUGAGAAGAUGAGAGAAGAGGGGGACGAGUAUAAGCGAGACGUGAGGAAAAUGGAAAUCAGAGGACACAUACUACUACUGCCGCCACCACUACCACCACCACCACCAUCCUCACUACAUUGAGCUGCAGGCUCAUCGAGUUGUUGCCUCCGGGAAAAAGAGAAGCACUCUUUGGGCUGCUAACUGGCCGGAUCUGUCCGGUUGGGGGCGUUGGAGCCAGGGGGAAGGAGCGUGUUAUGUAAGUGCGUGCGUGUGCCUGGGUACGUCCGUUCGGGUUUAUCCGUAUUGUACUUGGUGGGUUAGCUUUAGGGAUUUCUUGUGGGGACUCAAAUUGAAUAAAACUGUUUCGUCUCGGCUCACACAUGGAUCAUCAUCGCCUCCCGAGAUUGGACACAACUGACCAUGAGAAAUGCAAGGGCCUUGAAAAAC